rnacentral:rRNA from 1 species
UACGGAGGGGGCUAGCGUUGUUCGGAAUUACUGGGCGUAAGGCGCACGUAGGCGGCUUUGUAAGUUAGAGGUGAAAGCCCAGGGCUCAACCCUGGAAUUGCCUUUAAGACUGCAUCGCUUGAACAUCGGAGAGGUAAGUGGAACUGCGAGUGUAGAGGUGAAAUUCGUAGAUAUUCGCAAGAACACCAGUGGCGAAGGCGGCUCACUGGCCCGAUACUGACGCUGAGGCACGAAAGCGUGGGGAGCAAACAGG